UGUAUUGAUGAUGGCAUCUCAGGUAAGCAGCACUGGGCUGUAUUGAUGAUGGCAUCUCAGGUAAGCAGCACUGGGCUGUAUUGAUGAUGGCAUCUCAGGUAAGCAGCACUGGGCUGUAUUGAUGAUGGCAUCUCAGGUAAGCAGCACUGGGCUGUAGUGACGGAUCCUAAAAACGACAUCUGCUGCUUUAGAUUGAACGGUCAUUUCUCAGUUAUUGUUUUCAUGUCUAUAAAAAAUAAGCUGUUUUCUUUACUUUCAGAGAGCGAGCUGACCUAGGGGUCGAAAAUGUAGAUAUUGCCAGAUGUUCACUGUCCGAGGAACAGGCCGUGGAAGCUUUAUCGCUGGCAAAAGUGUCUAUAACCAGAGCUAAUUAAACUGUUCUGUGUUCUUUUUCUCAAUCUCUGCCUGUCUUGUUGUACAUGGAACCUGUCUCACAUACAUGGAACCUGUCUCACAUUAAUUAAAAAACCCUUAAGAUGUCAGCUGCUAAUUUUCAGAUUUACACCACAUAAACACAGCCAUUUUCACUGGUCUAUCUGUUGCUGCCAAGUCAUGAUUUCCCUGAGGGUUAGCCUUGCAAUAACCAAGUGGUGAGACACAUAGCCCUCUAUAUUUAAACGCUUCAGGUACCCUCUGAUAGGUGUCUGCGUCACAUACAGUAUCUUAUAUUGAUAUUAUCUUCUAUUGUUUGUCCUCGUGUGUCUGUUUUUCAGCAUAAAAUACUCUGUAGCCACUUAGUGUGGACACCAGGUAAGACCACACACACACACAAAAACAGUCUCUUCUUCACUCCAUACCUCUACCCCUUCUCCCUAAAUCCUCUAGGUUAUAUCAGUUGUUUUGGUGAACCCCUCCCGCAUCUGAACAGGCUGACACAGAGGGCACAGCGUGAUCAUAGGUAUGUUUUGAUGUGAGAGUGGAAGCCAGUCCCGUCAUCGCCAGUUCACCCGCUCUUAAGAUGACCUCCGGACCAACUGGGGGCCCAAGGCUGGUUAGGAGACACCGCAAUUGUGAUGAACUGAGAGAAUAUUAGGGUAGUACUGUAAUUCAUGAAUCACAUGCUCUCUGCCGCUGUUCCUACCUCUUUCCCUUUCUGUCUUCUACACCUCUCUCCCCACCUUGUCUCUCUUCCCCGUUUUAUAAUGCACACAUUAUAUUGUAUUUAUAAUAUUACAAUUAUCAUAGUUAUAAUGCAUUUAUGUAUUCAUAACACCUGGAUAAUGAACGUCUUUCAAUAAAGCGUUUCACAUUCUCCACUGGUGGAAAUUAAGUAUCUCAUUGAAAUACUAUCCUGUGCCCUCAGAUUAAUGCAGAUGAAGGGAGUUAGAUAUGCAUAGUUUUUUCCUGUAUAUAUGAAUUACAAAUCAAUCAUGGUUCUAGUCUAUUGCAUAGUUACAAUGUGUAAUCAUUGAUGUCCCAGGAGCAGGAGUGGUAAACACUGUUGCAGUGUAUAAUUGUAAUACAUACAUGCAGACACAGCAUCAUUUAAAUAAUGGAGAAUGAUAUGGCUGAAAAAGAAGUCUCAGAGAUUCAUUCCUGAACCGCCAAGGAAGUGUACAUCAGUGAAUAUAUUCAAUGUACAGGCUACAAUGUGGGAAUCUCAUGCGUGGUAAUAACUACAGUACAUGUGUAUAUACGUAGGACUUACAUCCUUGGCACAAUAAAGUUAUUGUAUUCUA